rnacentral:miRNA from 1 species
GUACCCCCAAAAUUUAAAUUUCCAAUAAACAACAGAUAAUUUGUUAGUAUAAGUAUGUUUUGUGCAAUCUUUGGGACAUACUUAUGCUAACAAAUGAUCUCUUAUUUAUCUGAAAUUCAAAUUUGACCGGACAUCCUGUAUUUU